CCCAGUACCAACAGUCAGACACCGUUUGCUGCAUGGCUGUGGCAGGGAUUUGGCUGAACUGCGCUGGGCCUCUGAACCAGGGGGUGCUUGCAGGGAACCAGCUCUGAACUGGGGGCUACCUCAUCAGGACUGGAAAUCAUAAUGAAGUAGCCUGGUCCUCGCGGCUGUGCUUCCAGGAUGGCAGCUAAUUAUUUCAGAAAUGAUGUGGCCACAGAAAAUUUCUCCUUCAUUUUGAGUGCAGCUCAAUGCAUUUAAUAAAGACCUUCUUCAAGUCAAUGAAGUCUGUGAAGUCACGAUUUAACCACUCAGAUUGGUUUCAUAUCAGUACAAGUGAACUGCCUGACAUAUCACACUCCUUUAUAUCAGCUGUCGGCUUCAUAUCUGAACUUGGAGCUCUCUCAAAGUCUGGGGUCAGCACAUGCUCGCGCUCCCCAAGCCCCUCCAGCAGCCAUGGCAGCAGGGACCCUGACACGACACGCCAAGAGCUCCCGCAGCAUCUCCCCCCACCUCUGCCAUUGUGUCAGCAGGUACAAAUAUGUUCCCUGGCAGAAAGACACAUAAAUCCCAACUGUCAAGAAACAAAGCAC